rnacentral:tRNA from 1 species
UUUGUUAUAGGUUCAGUGGUAGAGCGGUCAGCUGUUAACUGACUGGCCGUAGGUUCGAAUCCUACUUAAGGAG